AUGGGCUUGUUUGUAUCACUGUGGUACACGUUUGGUGGAGGAACCAGACUGGAGGUUGAUUUGGGUCAUGUUCCACCCAAGCUGACAGUGCUGUCCCCCUCCAUGCAUGAGGGGAAGGCCACACUCCUGUGUCUGGCCAACAACGGCUUCCCUUCAGGCUGGACUCUGUCCUGGAAGGUGGGCGGCAGCAGCAUCAGCAGCAGCUGGGAGGAGAGCAGGAGCCCCGGGGUGCUGCACAAGGACGGCCUCUACAGCUGGAGCAGCACCCUGAGGCUCCCUGCAGACCAGUGGGAGAAGCUGGACUCUGUGACCUGUGAGGCCACCCAGGACUCCCAGACUCCAGUCCCAGAGACUCUGUGGAGAAACCAGUGUUCCUAGUCACCACCAGACUGACUGGGAUUCUUUUACUCUGCUUUAAACUACUCUGACUUCACUUAGGAAUCUUUGUGACAUUUAUUGCAAUCCUCUUUCUGAAUGUUGUGAAUGUUUCUUUUUUUUUUUAAAUAAAGAUUUUUUCUUCAACUCA